GAGAGAGCAACGCCUGGGCCUUCCAGUCCCGGACCCCCUGUUCUCUGGGAGUCAAGGAUGAAGCCCACAGGAGCCCGGUCCCCCAUCAGCUGUGCCCGAGCUGGUCAACCCCGGGAAAACCCAAAUUGUGAUAUUGGAGGCUCUUUCCAGCUCCCUCCAGGGCUGUGGCUGCAGGACUCUCCCUCCUGUUGUUUCCUAAUUCCCUGGACCUUCCUACCUGCAGUGUGGUACCCCUCAAUGGCACCCAGUUUCCUGUCUUAUCCUCCAUGGCUUGGCCUUGCAGGUCUGGUGAUCCUGGUGUCCCAAGAGACCCUGUUGGGGGAGGCGGGGGAGGCGGAGGCUCAAGCGUCAGCCAAGCAGCAGUGAGCCCCCUCCUGAGGGGAGUGUGAGGCCAUCAAGUGUUUUAGGCAGUCAGGAGACAUGUCAGGGAAUGAUCUGGGAUCAGCUUCAUGGGUACACUGUGGAAGCAGGGAGGCCAUUGGCUAAAUUGGGGGUGAGAAGGGCAAGGAGGGAAAAAAAUAAUAACUAGCAAUUACAAUUUGUUGAGGCAAAAUAAAUGGUCCAGAGCAUACAUUCAGCACUUUAUGGUAAUUAAUUCUCACUCAGCUAUACGAGAUGGCUACUGUUAUCACCUCUCUUGUACACAUAAGGACCCUGAGACUCAGAGGCAACAUCCCCUGGCCAGGGUCAAACAGCUGACCAGCAGCCACAUUGGGAUUUGAACCAGGUCAGUCUGGCACAAACUCCAAGCACUUAGCCAUAUCAGGGUCCCCACCCGUCUGGGCUGUGGGCAGAGUUAGGCUACAGCCAUGACAGAGCACCGCUGGCCUAGGUAUUCUGGAUGCCCACGGGGGGUAUGGGAGGGGAUGGUAGUAUUGGGGGCCUGCCAUGGUUUUGGGUGGCCUCCACCAUCAGACUCAGGCUGGAUGGGUCCCCUGCCUGUUUCCCACGAGCUCUCCUUAAGUCACAUCCUGUGGGCAGACGCCUCAGCAGAUAUUCCGGUGUUGUCACGUCUACCCCACCACCCCUGCCCUGAACCCCAACAUCCGCCAGUCACUUCCCCUCAGAGCUUCGGGCCCUCUGCUCCCCUUGGCAGAAGCAGUAGGGAACUCUUUAGAAGGCCACCUGCGCUGUCCAGGCAUGGGGUCCUGGAUCAUCCAGGUGGAAGGGCGAAGAAACGAGGUCCUUAGCUGGAAAUGAUUUCUCACUGACUGACUUCUGAUUUUGCUAGUUUGAGGAAAAUGUUUCCUGCCUCCACGGAUCAGCUAAGCCUGCAAGGCCAGGCACUGGCCAGUUUGUCAGUUUGCUGACUAACCGACUGGACUCUGUGAGAGCCUCUGGUCCCGCUGGCAUUUAACAGAGAAACUGAGGCACAGAGUAGAAGAGGGAAUCAUUGGCCUGCUGUUUGACUCUGGCCUAGACCUUCUGUUUUCCUCCCCUGAGCAGGGAUGAGGGGAGGGGGGGCGGGCAUAGGGAGGGAAGGAGAAGACAGGCUCAUGGGUGGGCUGAUCUUGGCUGCUCGUACGUCCCGGGAAGAGAAAGGGGUGCUGGAUAGGGAGACACCGGGCAGAGGCUGGUAGUGUGAUGCUUGCGGCCCUGUAGACCAUGGACAUUCCGCCCACACCAGCUGGGUGCUGACUCUGUACCCGGCCCUAUGUUGAUACGUGUCAUUUCCCUGGGGCUUCACAGCUCCCCUCUUAGGAGGUUGCUGGAAUUGGGCCCAACUUACAGAAGAGGGAACUGAGACUCGGAGUGGUGACGUGCCCUGCCCAAGGUCCCACAACCAGGAAGCUGUCAAUCUGGGAUUCAGAGCCGGGUCUCUGCUUCCAAAACCCAGGGUCAUUCGCCUCAGUACCAGACAACUGGAUGGAGCCGGGGAAAGACUAAGACCUACGGCAGGCGUGGGGCCAAUGCACAUGUGGGAGGCAAAUUCUCCUCUGAGGGGGCAUGAGGUCUGUUUGGAACAUGCGAGUGAAGACGCAAGUGAAUGUAAUAUGGGUAAUACUCGCAGUAUAACUUUUAUUUCACCGCCA